rnacentral:tRNA from 1 species
GUUUUGUGGCUCAGUGGUAGAGCACUCUCCUAGCAUGGGUGGGACCCAGGUUUGAUUCUCAGGACAACAUA